rnacentral:rRNA from 1 species
AUUGAACGCUGGCGGCAGGCUUAACACAUGCAAGUCGAACGAGUGGCGGACGGGUGAGUAAUGUCUGGGCAACUGCCUGAUGGAGGGGGAUAACUACUGGAAACGGUAGAUAAUACCGCAUACCAUCCGAUGUUCCCAGAUGGGAUUAGCUAGUAGGUGGGGUAAUGGCUCACCUAGGCGACGAUCCCUAGCUGGUCUGAGAGGAGGACCAGCCACACUGGAACUGAGACACGGUCCAGACUCCUACGGGGGGCAGCAGUGGGGAAUAUUGCACAAGGGGCGCAAGCCUGAUGCAGCCAUGCCGCGUGUGUGAAGAAGGCCUUCGGGUUGUAAAGUACUUUCAGCGGGGAGGCGUUACCCGCAGAAGAAGCACCGGCUAACUCCGUGCCAGCAGCCGCGGUAAUUC